rnacentral:rRNA from 1 species
UACGGGGGGAGCAAGCGUUGUUCGGAUUUACUGGGCGUAAAGGGCGCGUAGGCGGUCAGCACAAGUCAGUUGUGAAAUCUCCGGGCUUAACUCGGAAGGGUCAACUGAUACUGUGCGACUAGAGUGCGGAAGGGGCAACUGGAAUUCUCGGUGGAGCGGUGAAAUGCGUAGAUAUCGAGAGGAACACCUGCGGCGAAGGCGGGUUGCUGGGCCGACACUGACGCUGAUGCGCGAAAGCCAGGGGAGCGAACGGG